CAGUAGCCGCGGUAAUACGAAGGGGGCUAGCGUUGUUCGGAAUUACUGGGCGUAAAGCGCGCGUAGGCGGCCUUUCAAGUCAGAUGUGAAAUCCCUGGGCUCAACCUAGGAAUUGCAUUUGAUACUGUUUGGCUUGAGUAUGGGAGAGGUGAGUGGAAUUCCCAGUGUAGAGGUGAAAUUCGUAGAUAUUGGGAGGAACACCAGUGGCGAAGGCGGCUCACUGGACCAAUACUGACGCUGAGGCGCGAAAGCGUGGGGAGCAAACAGGAUUAGAUACCCCCGUAGUCCCUGUCUCUUAUAA
rnacentral:rRNA from 1 species